rnacentral:rRNA from 1 species
UACGUAGGGACCGAGCGUUGUCCGGAAUCAUUGGGCGUAAAGAGCGUGUAGGCGGCCUUUUAAGUCCUGCGUGAAAUCCUGCGGCUCAACCGCAGACGGUCGUGGGAAACUGGAAGGCUAGAGUGCGGGAGAGGAGAGUGGAAUUCCCGGUGUAGCGGUGAAAUGCGCAGAUAUCGGGAAGAACACCCGUGGCGAAGGCGGCUCUCUGGAACGCAACUGACGCUGAGACGCGACAGCGUGGGGAGCAAACAGG